rnacentral:rRNA from 1 species
UGGGGAAUUUUCCGCAAUGGGCGAAAGCCUUACGGAGCGAUGCCGCGUGGAGGUGGAAGGCCUACGGGUCGUCAACUUCUUUUCUCGGAGAAGAAACAAUGACGGUAUCUGAGGAAUAAGCAUCGGCUAACUCUGUGCCAA